AAGUCGAGGGGCAGCAUGGUCUUAGCUUGCUAAGGCCGAUGGCGACCGGCGCACGGGUGAGUAACACGUAUCCAACCUGCCGUCUACUCUUGGACAGCCUUCUGAAAGGAAGAUUAAUACCCGAUGGCAUUGGAUUCCCGCAUGGGGCUUCAAUUAAAGGUGUGAACUGGUAAAGGAUGGGGAUGCGUUCCAUUAGGUUGUUGGCGGGGUAACGGCCCACCAAGCCUUCGAUGGAUAGGGGUUCUGAGAGGAAGGUCCCCACAUUGGAACUGAGACACGGUCCAAACUCC
rnacentral:rRNA from 1 species